AUUUUAACUUAUGUUUUAAUGUUAGGGCUUUUAUUUUUGCCGAUCAUUGACAAAAAUUGACUUAUGUAUCGUUUUUAAUAUUCCUUCAAGCUAUAAAACUCCAAGUUAAAUCUUCUCUUUAUGCAACGUUGCCUUGUUAUUUCCUUUACAUGCUACUCUUUCUUUAUCACCUGAAGAAUAAAGUGCAUGCUAUCACCCCGCUUCAGAUAUUCUGCAACUUGAAGAAAGCUCAACUACUAGCUGAACUAUAGCCCUGAUGCAGAUGUUCUAGAAAACUCAUGAUAGUAUUGUACUGUUCGCUUAAAGAAUUGUAUAAUAGAAUGAUCUCCAAUAUUUAGUUUACAAGGAUGUCCAGAAAUCAUUUUCCAAGUUUUCUUAGCAUGACAGCUUUAUCAAAACAAAUGAAGUUGUUUAAAAAAAAUAAUGAACUUCCAUACGUAAUAUGCCAUUCAUGUUUGUUAUGCUUCUUAUUAUGCUGAUGACUUCAGGAAAUUUGUUGCUAAAAUGGUCUUUGGACUUUCAGCAAUGACAUGCAAACCAACAAAAAUUCUGUGUUUAAAUGCUGAAUAGUGUAAUUAAAUGAAAUUUUGAUCUUCUUCAUACAAACAGUGCUGUAUUUCUGAUUUGUCACGCUUAUUAUCAUAUUUAUUAUCAUUCAUUUGUAUAAUAAUAUUGAAAUGUAAAGAGGUAAAACAAACAAUAAUUUUGCAACAGAAAUUGAGAAAUAGCUGGA